GCGGUCGUAGCUCAACUGGUUAGAGCAUCAGAUUGUGGCUCUGAAGGUUGCGGGUUCGAGCCCCGUCGAUCGCC
rnacentral:tRNA from 1 species